rnacentral:rRNA from 1 species
AGUGAACGCUGGCGGUAGGCCUAACACAUGCAAGUCGAACGGCAGCACAGUAAGAGCUUGCUCUUAUGGGUGGCGAGUGGCGGACGGGUGAGGAAUACAUCGGAAUCUACUUUUUCGUGGGGGAUAACGUAGGGAAACUUACGCUAAUACCGCAUACGACCUACGGGUGAAAGCAGGGGAUCUUCGGACCUUGCGCGAUUGAAUGAGCCGAUGUCGGAUUAGCUAGUUGGCGGGGUAAAGGCCCACCAAGGCGACGAUCCGUAGCUGGUCUGAGAGGAUGAUCAGCCACACUGGAACUGAGACACGGUCCAGACUCCUACGGGAGGCAGCAGUGGGGAAUAUUGGACAAUGGGCGCAAGCCUGAUCCAGCCAUACCGCGGGGGUGAAGAAGGCCUUCGGGUUGUAAAGCCCUUUUGUUGGGAAAGAAAAGCAGCAGGUUAAUACCCCGCUGUUCUGACGGUACCCAAAGAAUAAGCACCGGCUAACUUCGU